rnacentral:lncRNA from 1 species
UUUUUUGUUUUAUUUUUUUUGGUGUAUACUUCUAUGAAAUUGUAUCAUAUGUCUGGAUUUGAUGAAUACUUAACCACACACAGAAUACAGAACAAUUCUAUCACUACAAAGAAAUUCCUUCAUGUUACCGCUUAAUAGUCACGUCUCUUCCCCAACCCCUAACAGCUACUGAUCUGUUCUUGCACUACAAUUUUGUCAUGUUGAGAAUAUUCUAUAAAUGAAAUUGUGUAGUAUAUAAAUCUUUGAUAUGGGCUUUUUGUCCACAGUCAGCAUAAUACCUUUGAGUUCAUGCAUAGUUUGUUCCUUUUUUUUUUUUUUUUUUUUCCAGGCCAGGGGUUGAAUCAGAGCUGUAGCCGCCCGGCCUACAAUACAGCCACAGUGACAUGGGAUCCGAGCUGCAUCUGUGACCUAUGCCACAGCUCACAGGCAAUGUCGGAUCCUUAACCCACUGAGUGAGGCCAGGGAUCAAACCCUCAUCCUCAUGGAUCCUAGUCGGGUUCGUUAACCACUGAGCCACAAAGAGAACUCAAUAGUUUGUUCCUAUUUGCAGAGUAAUCUAUUGUAUGAACAUACCAGUUUCUUUAUCCAUUCACCUGUUCAAGAACAUCUGUGUUGUUUCUAGUUUGGGUCUAUUAUAAAUAAAGCGGUACGAUAAACAUUUGUGUACAGGUAUUUGUGUAAACGGAUUUUUCAUUUCUCCAGGAUAAGUACUUACGGCCAAAACUUGGCCUCUGUCCACCAGUGCUGAAUAUAAAUAUGGAGACAGAGUUUGGGGCAAAGGAGAAAAAAAAUAGCUUUAUUGCUUUUCUAGGCAAGAGGUCACAGCAGGCUAAUGCCCUUAAGACUGUGCCCUCCUUUGUGAGAGAAUAGGAGGUGGUCUUUCAGUUUUAGGAGUGGAAAAUAGGGCCACAGGUAAGGAUCAGGGUAGGUGCAAGCUUUCAUUCUUCUUCAAGCCUGGCGUUUAGUGGCCCUGGACUUGUUCUGGUUGUCUUCCUUCUUUCCGGAAUGAAGAAUGCUUAAUAACAUCUUUCAUUGAUUCAUUGGUUCGGGGUUUAUUUCUGCAGAAGAGCUCAAAGGUACUUUUAUGUGUAUUCCUUGAGGAGGAACCAGGACCCUGCCCUAGGGCUGCACUGUUUCUUCUGGACUACUUCUCCCUUCUCUCUUCAUCCCCUCCCUUCCCUGAUUAGCAAUUGUUUGAACCUGCCCUUUGGAACUCAGGGAAGGUGUGGAGGCUGAAUGAGGCCUAUUUCCUAAAAACAAGAAGUGGGAGGAUUUCCUGCUGUGGCGUAGUGGGUUAAUGGUCGGGUUUGUCUCUUUGGUGGCGUAUUUUGAUUCUGGCCUGGUCCAAUGGGUUAGGGAUCGAGUGUUGCCACAGCUGUGGCAGAGGUCAUAGCUCCAGCUUGGAUUCAAUCCCUGGCCGAGGAACAUCCAUAUGCUGCAGGUGUGGCUGAAAAAGAAAAAAAGAAAUGGGGAACACAGGAAGGCUUUUUUGCCCAGGAGCCCCACAGGGCCCUGCUCAGCUUCAUACCCAGGAGUAUGACUCCUGACCCAGAAGGAUGACUGCUUAACCUUGUAAGAAACUAUCAGAUAUUUCUAGUGUCUUUACCAGAAAUGUAUGAGAGAUGCAGUUGUUCUUCUAGUCCUUGGUGUUAUCAGUAUUUUUAUUACCAAUUAUUAUUGGUAUUUUAAAAUUAUAGCCAUUCUAGUAGAUGUAAAGUGAUAUCUUAUUGGAGCUUUAAUUUGCAUUUUUCCGUUGGCUAAUGAUGUUGAACAUCUUUCCAUGUGUGGAUUUGUCAUCCAUUUAUCUUCAUGGGUCAAGGGUUUGUUCAAAUUUUUUGCCCAUUUUCUAAUUGGAUUGUUUGUUUUCUUAUUGAGUUUAGAGAGGUCUUUAUAUAUCCUGAUAUCUUUGUUGGCUGUAUGAUUGCAAAUAUUUUCUCCUUGUCUGUGACCAGGGUCUUAUAAAGAGCAAACAUUUUAAAUUUUGACGACAUCCAAUUUAUUGACUUUUUUGGAGCAUGGUUUUGAUGUUUAAGGACUCUUUUGCCUCACUCUUAGUCAUAAGAUUUCUUCAAUGUUUUCUUCUUGAAGUUUUAUGCUUUUAUAUGUUGCAUGGAGAUAAUCCAUUUUGAGUAAAUUUUUGAGUAAGUUUAUGUGUGGAGUUUAUGUUGAGGUGCUUUGUUUUGACUAUGAAUGUUUAUCCCAAAAGCAUUUGUUAAAAAUAUAUCCUUCCUUCUUUGAAAUGCUUUUGCACUUAGUCAAAAAUUAUUUGGCCACAUAUAUGGGCUCUAUUUUGUGUUUUUUGUUUGUUUGUUUGUUUGUUUUUUGUCUAUUUGUCUUUUUCUAGGGCCGCUCUUGCAGCAUAUGGAGGUUCCCAGGCUAGGGGUCGAAUCGGAGCUGUCGCUGCCAGCACAGCAGAGCCACAGCAACCUGGGAUCCAAGCCACAUAUGCAACCUACACCAUAGCUCACAGCAACGCUGGAUCCUUAACCCACUGAGCAAGGCCAGGGAUCAAACCCACAACUUCAUGGUUCCUAGUCAGAUUCGUUAACCACUGAGCCAUGACAGGAACUCCGGGCUCUAUUUUGGAUUCUUUAUUCCAUUAAUCUGUGUGACUGUCCCUUCAUCAAUACCACACUGUUUUUGUUUAUUUUAUCUAUAUAAUAAGUCAAAAUCAGAUCAUUUUUUUCUCUAUCUUUAUUCUUCUUUUUAAUACUGCUUUUGUUAUCAUAGUUUAUUUUUCUGCUUAUAUAAAUUUUGGCAUCAGCUUGUCUAUAUCUGCAAAGAGUCAUUCUGGGAUUUUGAUAGAAAUUGCUUUAAACCCAUAGAUCAAUUCUGGGGAAAAUUGAUAUGUAUACUAUGUUGAGUCUUUUAAUCCCUGAACAUGGUAUAACUUUUCAUUUAUG